AGGAAUAUUGGACAAUGGAGGAAACUCUGAUCCAGCCAUGCCGCGUGAAGGAAGACGGCCUUAUGGGUUGUAAACUUCUUUUAUACAGGAAGAAACCUUUCCACGUGUGGAAAGCUGACGGUACUGUAAGAAUAAGGAUCGGCUAACUCCGUGCCAGCAGCCGCGGUAAUACGGAGGAUCCAAGCGUUAUCCGGAAUUAUUGGGUUUAAAGGGUCCGCAGGCUGUUUGUUAAGUCAGAGGUGAAAGCCUACCGCUCAACGGUAGAACUGCCUUUGAUACUGACAGACUUGAGUUAUUGUGAAGUAGUUAGAAUGUGUAGUGUAGCGGUGAAAUGCAUAGAUAUUACACAG
rnacentral:rRNA from 1 species